CUGAGCCACCGAGAUGUGCAGACCUCCGAGGUAUCAUAGAGGGGUUCCGGAAGCUCCCAGCAAGGGGCCACAGGCUUCCUCGGCUCUCUGGCCAGUGGGGGCACUUCCUGCCACGCCAGCACCAGCUCUGGGCUGGAAUCAAGUAAAGAAUAGAUGGCAGAGACUGCUUCCUUUCUGGUCCUUGUAGCCCCAGAGCCUCGCCCACAGUGAUCUGCCUGAUGCUGCCAGGUGAUUCGUUGUACCUCAGUUGGGAUCAUAGAAUCAUAGAUUUGGAGCUGGAAGGGACCUUAGGGGCCAUCUAGUUUAGCCCCUUCAUUUUACAGGCUCUUCACUAGUUGAGAAUUUGACCUGAUUGUCUCCGGCAAUUACUAUUUUUCCUUUUACUUAUAGCUGCACAGCAGGUUAGUGGAAAGCAAGACUGUGCCCCUGUCUUUGGUUGUGAAAAUAGUGUUCGUUCCUUGCCCAGCUUUUGGAUGUGAAUCUCUUUUGAAUGGUUUAAUUUACAUCAAAUUUCUGCUUCGUUUUUGUUAAUUAGUCU